GAAAUAAUCUGCCAGAGAUCUGUUCAAUCAGAGAGGACCCCACAAAUCCUUAUUCUUCAUCGAGCCUUCCUUCUCAUUUCUUCUUCUCCAAAGGGGGCGAUCAUCUCUGUCUCACUCCAUCUCUGCAAAGCCAUGGCAAGUUCUGGUGCUCCUUCUCACAAGGCUCUGAGCAAAAUCGCGUGUAAAAGGCUUCAGAAAGAGCUUGUGGAAUGGCAGAUGAAUCCACCUACGGGGUUCAAACACAAGGUCACUGAUAAUCUCCAGAGAUGGAUAAUUGAAGUUAUUGGAGCACCAGGAACUUUGUACGCGAACGAGACCUAUCAGCUUCAAGUUGAUUUUCCCGAGCACUAUCCUAUGGAAUCGCCGCAAGUGAUCUUUCUCCCUCCGGCUCCUUUGCAUCCUCACAUUUACAGCAAUGGGCAUAUUUGCUUAGAUAUUCUGUAUGAUUCGUGGUCUCCAGCGAUGACUGUUAGUUCUAUCUGCAUCAGCAUCCUCUCCAUGCUCUCUAGCUCGACUGAAAAGCAACGACCGACCGAUAAUGACCGAUAUGUGCAGAAUUGUAAGAACGGAAGAUCUCCAAAGGAGACGAGAUGGUGGUUCCACGAUGAUAAAGUAUAAACCAUCCAUCCAUCAAAACCAUAAAUGUAUAAUAAUCCAAAACAAUCAUGAGGUCAUAUAUAUACAUCAGGAAGAAUAUAAUCUCAACUACUACUUUCCCCCUCUGAUUUUGUCCUGUCACCAUGAAGCUGACGACGAAGACGACGAUGGACGAAACAAAGCCAGAGAUGGGUUCUGAAAGAUUUUCUGACCGGUAGCGAGUAUAUGCCGUGGAUCGAACUCAGCCUUCAUGCUUCUAAACUGAUCCCAUUUGUCUCCAUAAUGAGCCACCCACUCCUCUUGCGUUGCAUGGUGAGGAAGGUACUGCUUCACAUUGAUCUUGGCUUGUUCACAGAACUCCAAGAUCCGACGGUUCUGAUCUUUCAAAUACUCUAGCUUCUGCGUUUCUUCACCGUCCGAUAAAGCUGAUCUCAGUAAAGCCACGAGGUAGAAAACUUCCUCGUCCGGUGUAACGGCCGAGCUUCUUUCGUCCCAUCUGGCAUUACAAAAAGUACGUCACGUCAGCACGACAUAAUCUUAUAGUUAAUAAAUGAUGUGAGGGAGGGUCGUUGAGAUCGGUUUGGUUUAGUAGAAUCCGAUUGGGACCCACCACCAUUAGUUAUAGGAACUAAAAAACAAUAGACCCAAUCUGGACCGUCCAGAUUGGACAACGAACCAAAAGAGAAAGAUGAGCCGACGAUGAUGCGUUAUUAUCAAUCUUAGCUGGUUCGAUUCGAUGCACAUGUGAACAAAGUUUUUCGGACAAUCCCAUGUACCACGUGUCAGUAGUUCUUUACAGUUUCGACAAAACAUUUAUUUUCUUGGACCACUAAUUUAAUCCCCACAAGUGUAACUUUGCAUGCAUGCAAAACUCGUUUUA